rnacentral:rRNA from 1 species
GACGAACGCUGGCGGCGUGGAUUAGGCAUGCAAGUCGAACGGUAUCAUCCUUUCGGGGGUGAGAGAGUGGCGAACUGGUGAGUAACACGUAGGUUAUCUACCCUCAAGACGGGGACAACCCAGGGAAACUUGGGCUAAUACCGGAUGUGAGCAACUUUUUAGUUGUUUGAAAGGUGGCGUAAGCUGUCGCUUGGGGAUGAGCCUGCGUCCUAUUAGUUAGUUGGUGAGGUAACGGCUCACCUAGGCAAUGAUAGGUAGGCGGCCUUAACGGGCGGUCGCCCACACUGGGAUUGAGAUACGGCCCAGACUCCUACGGGAGGCAGCAGUCGAGAAUAGUCUACAAUGGUCGGAAGACUGAUAGUGCGACGCCGCGUGAACGAUGAAUCCCUUCGGGGUGUAAAGUUCUUUUCUAUACGAGCAGUGCUAUAUAUAUGGAUAGUAUAUAUAGAGGGAUAGUAGUAUAGGAAUAAGCAACGGCUAACUCCGUGCCAGCAGCCGCGGUAAUCUCGU